rnacentral:rRNA from 1 species
UACGGAGGGGGCUAGCGUUGUUCGGAAUUACUGGGCGUAAAGCGUACGUAGGCGGCUUUGUAAGUUAGAGGUGAAAGCCCGGGGCUCAACCCCGGAAUUGCCUUCGAUACUGUAGAGCUUGAGACCGGAAGAGGUAAGUGGAACUGCGAGUGUAGAGGUGAAAUUCGUAGAUAUUCGCAAGAACACCAGUGGCGAAGGCGGCCAACUGGUCCGAAACUGACGCUGAGGCGCGAAAGCGUGGGGAGCAAACAGG